CUAGUGGCGAACGGGUGAGUAACGCGUUGGUGACCUACCCCAAAUGGGGGAUAACAGAUCGAAAGAUCUGCUAAUACCCCAUGUUGUCAUCGUGCUUAGAAAGCGAUGAUUAAAGGAGCAAUCCGCUUUGGAGGGGCCUGCGUCCCAUCAGCUAGUUGGUAGGGUAAUGGCCUACCAAGGCAAUGACGGGUAAGGGACCUGAGAGGGUGGCCCCUCACAAUGGAACUGAAACACGGUCCAU
rnacentral:rRNA from 1 species